AGCGCCAGGUUUAAUUUUUAAAGCAAAUUUUACUGAACAUUUUCUACCGGUGCCCAGGCAAAUUUCCGUCUAUGCAGAGCCCUUCCCUUCUAUGGUGACAAUGAAUGCACAAUGUCAAGUAACACACAGACUGAAACAAUUGUAACCCUUCUG